GGCUUCUGCAGUCGAGCGAAUGGAUUAAGAGCUUGCUCUUAUGAAGUUAGCGGCGGACGGGUGAGUAACACGUGGGUAACCUGCCCAUAAGACUGGGAUAACUCCGGGAAACCGGGGCUAAUACCGGAUAACAUUUUGAACCGCAUGGUUCGAAAUUGAAAGGCGGCUUCGGCUGUCACUUAUGGAUGGACCCGCGUCGCAUUAGCUAGUUGGUGAGGUAACGGCUCACCAAGGCAACGAUGCGUAGCCGACCUGAGAGGGUGAUCGGCCACACUGGGACUGAGACACGGCCCAGACUCCUACGGGAGGCAGCAGUAGGGAAUCUUCCGCAAUGGACGAAAGUCUGACGGAGCAACGCCGCGUGAGUGAUGAAGGCUUUCGGGUCGUAAAACUCUGUUGUUAGGGAAGAACAAGUGCUAGUUGAAUAAGCUGGCACCUUGACGGUACCUAGCCAGAAAGCCACGGCUAACUACGUGCCAGCAGCCGCGGUAAUACGUAGGUGGCAAGCGUUAUCCGGAAUUAUUGGGCGUAAAGCGCGCGCAGGUGGUUUCUUAAGUCUGAUGUGAAAGCCCACGGCUCAACCGUGGAGGGUCAUUGGAAACUGGGAGACUUGAAUGCAGAAGAAGGAAAGUGGGGUCC
rnacentral:rRNA from 2 species